rnacentral:rRNA from 1 species
AUUAGACGAAUCAUCUGGAAAGAUGAAUCAAAGAAGGUAAUAAUCCUGUAGUCGAAAAUGUUGUCUCUCUUGAGUGGAUCCUGAGUACGACGGAGCACGUGAAAUUCCGUCGGAAUCUGGGAGGACCAUCUCCUAAGGCUAAAUACUCUCUAGUGACCGAUAGUGAACCAGUACCGUGAGGGAAAGGUGAAAAGCACCCCGGAAGGGGAGUGAAAUAGAACCUGAAACCGUGUGCUUACAAGUAGUCAGAGCCCGUUAAUGGGUGAUGGCGUGCCUUUUGUAGAAUGAACCGGCGAGUUACGAUUUGAUGCAAGGUUAAGCAGUAAAUGUGGAGCCGUAGCGAAAGCGAGUCUGAAUAGGGCGUUUAGUAUUUGGUCGUAGACCCGAAACCAGGUGAUCUACCCUUGGUCAGGUUGAAGUUCAGGUAACACUGAAUGGAGGACCGAACCGACUUACGUUGAAAAGUGAGCGGAUGAACUGAGGGUAGCGGAGAAAUUCCAAUCGAACCUGGAGAUAGCUGGUUCUCUCCGAAAUAGCUUUAGGGCUAGCCUCAAGUGAUGAUUAUUGGAGGUAGAGCACUGUUUGGACGAGGGGCCCCUCUCGGGUUACCGAAUUCAGACAAACUCCGAAUGCCAAUUAAUUUAACUUGGGAGUCAGAACAUGGGUGAUAAGGUCCGUGUUCGAAAGGGAAACAGCCCAGACCACCAGCUAAGGUCCCAAAAUAUAUGUUAAGUGGAAAAGGAUGUGGCGUUGCCCAGACAACUAGGAUGUUGGCUUAGAAGCAGCCAUCAUUUAAAGAGUGCGUAAUAGCUCACUAGUCGAGUGACACUGCGCCGAAAAUGUACCGGGGCUAAACAUAUUACCGAAGCUGUGGAUUGUCCUUUGGACAAUGGUAGGAGAGCGUUCUAAGGGCGUUGAAGCAUGAUCGUAAGGACAUGUGGAGCGCUUAGAAGUGAGAAUGCCGGUGUGAG